AUAACAACUCUCAGCAACGGAUAUCUUGGCUCUUGCAACGAUGAAGAACGCAGCGAAAUGCGAUACGUAGUGUGAAUUGCAGAAUUCCGUGAAUCAUCGAGUUUUUGAACGCAAGUUGCGCCCGAGGCUUGUCCAAGGGCAUUUUCGCCAGAGCGUCAUC
rnacentral:rRNA from 1 species